GAUGAACGCUGGCGGCGUGCCUAAUACAUGCAAGUCGAGCGAACGGACGAGAAGCUUGCUUCUCUGAUGUUAGCGGCGGACGGGUGAGUAACACGUGGAUAACCUACCUAUAAGACUGGGAUAACUUCGGGAAACCGGAGCUAAUACCGGAUAAUAUUUUGAACCGCAUGGUUCAAAAGUGAAAGACGGUCUUGCUGUCACUUAUAGAUGGAUCCGCGCUGCAUUAGCUAGUUGGUAAGGUAACGGCUUACCAAGGCAACGAUGCAUAGCCGACCUGAGAGGGUGAUCGGCCACACUGGAACUGAGACACGGUCCAGACUCCUACGGGAGGCAGCAGUAGGGAAUCUUCCGCAAUGGGCGAAAGCCUGACGGAGCAACGCCGCGUGAGUGAUGAAGGUCUUCGGAUCGUAAAACUCUGUUAUUAGGGAAGAACAUAUGUGUAAGUAACUGUGCACAUCUUGACGGUACCUAAUCAGAAAGCCACGGCUAACUACGUGCCAGCAGCCGCGGUAAUACGUAGGUGGCAAGCGUUAUCCGGAAUUAUUGGGCGUAAAGCGCGCGUAGGCGGUUUUUUAAGUCUGAUGUGAAAGCCCACGGCUCAACCGUGGAGGGUCAUUGGAAACUGGAAAACUUGAGUGCAGAAGAGGAAAGUGGAAUUCCAUGUGUAGCGGUGAAAUGCGCAGAGAUAUGGAGGAACACCAGUGGCGAAGGCGACUUUCUGGUCUGUAACUGACGCUGAUGUGCGAAAGCGUGGGGAUCAAACAGGAUUAGAUACCCUGGUAGUCCACGCCGUAAACGAUGAGUGCUAAGUGUUAGGGGGUUUCCGCCCCUUAGUGCUGCAGCUAACGCAUUAAGCACUCCGCCUGGGGAGUACGACCGCAAGGUUGAAACUCAAAGGAAUUGACGGGGACCCGCACAAGCGGUGGAGCAUGUGGUUUAAUUCGAAGCAACGCGAAGAACCUUACCAAAUCUUGACAUCCUUUGACAACUCUAGAGAUAGAGCCUUCCCCUUCGGGGGACAAAGUGACAGGUGGUGCAUGGUUGUCGUCAGCUCGUGUCGUGAGAUGUUGGGUUAAGUCCCGCAACGAGCGCAACCCUUAAGCUUAGUUGCCAUCAUUAAGUUGGGCACUCUAAGUUGACCGCCGGUGACAAACCGGAGGAAGGUGGGGAUGACGUCAAAUCAUCAUGCCCCUUAUGAUUUGGGCUACACACGUGCUACAAUGGACAAUACAAAGGGCAGCGAAACCGCGAGGUCAAGCAAAUCCCAUAAAGUUGUUCUCAGUUCGGAUUGUAGUCUGCAACUCGACUACAUGAAGCUGGAAUCGCUAGUAAUCGUAGAUCAGCAUGCUACGGUGAAUACGUUCCCGGGUCU
rnacentral:rRNA from 1 species